UCUGAAUCUGCGUACGGCUCCGCAAAACAGUUGUAAACUAUAGCAAGCACGCUUAUCAGGUCGCAAGGCUUGGUAAGCUACAUGGAUAACCCUGGUAAUUCUGAGGCUAAUACAAGAACGUACCACCUGUCUAACCGGGCAACUGGAAGGGCGGGGGGCGUGCAACACGGCGCAAAAAAUACUGGGAAUCGGUGCACGCUCAGACCAUCAUAAAAACGGUUGAACUGGGCUCCGGCUCGGGUCUUCUGGGUGGCUCUUGCGAUGUGCUUCUGACCUAUCAACUAGAUGGCAGCAUAAGGGACAUGCUAUGGU
rnacentral:rRNA from 1 species